rnacentral:sRNA from 1 species
GACACUGUCCCAGCUGCCACCUAGACUCGGAGCUCCAUCCAAACCUCCAGCAAAGACAUCCCAGCCAUGGCCAUGCAGAAAAUCUUUGCCCGGGAAAUCUUGGACUCCAGGGGCAACCCCACAGUGGAGGUGGACCUGCACACAGCCAAGGGUAACACAAGGCCCAUUGGAUAGGCUCGCCUCAGAAGACCCCAACUCUUUGGCCUUUGCCCCCCAAUUCUGUGCCAUAUCCUCUCCUUUCUCUCAGGUUCCCUUUCCCAGACUUCUUCCCAAGCCCCCUUCUUCCAACAUGGAACCAGAGCUGGAAGCUGGGAGAAGCAGGAGUCUGUCUCUGCACUGCCUCCCGUCCCUGAGCUCGGAGAGGACACCUCAGCCCUUUGAGGGGUAGAGAGACUCCCUGUGAGGUCCUUUUUUUUUUUUUUUUUUGAGAUGGAGUCUCGCUCUGUGGCCCGGGCUGGAGUGCAGUGGUGCAAUCUCAGCUCACUGCAACCUCUGCCUCCAGGGUUUAAGUGAUUCUUGUGCCUCAGCCUCCCAAGUAGCUGGGAUUACAGGCCUGUGCCAUCACGUCCAGCUACUUUU